rnacentral:lncRNA from 1 species
AACGAAAUUAACUUAUUAGCAUGCAUAGAUACGUAUAUAUAACGAAGUGUAAAACAUUUAUAGAAAAUACACACAAUAUUAUGGCAAUAUUAUAAAAAAUAAUGAAACAAAAGCGAUUAUAAGAUGGAUUAAAAUGUACAAAUGAGUAACCGAGAAAAGAAUGCUAUAAAGAAAAAGGAUUUAAUUAGAAACAAUCCCAAACAAAAGGGGUAAUUUAUAAACUAAAUAAACAAAAAGAGGACUAAAGUGCGAAGCGUACAAAGCAUAGGGGCUCAAAAUGGAAUAAGUCUAGGCCCUAAAACACUGCGUACGAACGCGGACUAGAUCGCAAAAUAGCGCAAAUUAUAGGAGAAAAUUAAAAAAAACGAGAAAGAAGCGUAGAUGGGCCGAUUUAAACACGGCGCAAAAAGGAAGGGGUUUAAUAUGAAAUUAACCCCUCACCACGAAAACGCGCGGAUCCCAGGGGCUAUCGGGUCGGGUCGUCGAGCAGAGUGUCGAACGACGUCAUUUUCUGGCCAUUACCUUUGGCCCAAACGGCGCCGUUUUUGCUCCUUUAAAAGGCUAAAUAUGGGUUCAUUCAGCCGAACCCUAGCAGAACAUUAACCUCCCCUCUUUUUGCUCCUUAGCCGAAUCCCAAGAGUUCCUCUUGACUCCGGUCUACCACCAUGAAUGGAGACUAAGCCGUUCGAACCUUGGAGUCCCUGUUUCAGCCUUAAGACCCCCUCUACAGUUCGAUUCCGGCGAAGAGGAAGGGAUCUCGUGGCGCGUUUUCAAGGGAAGGCGUUACCCUUCUUUUUUUUUGAUGUAAAAUGAAAACGAAUCAACUGAAAUAGGUAUAAGAACAGGGGAUUAAAAGAAGAGGGAAAACCACCUUCUCUGCUUUUCGAUUGAUUGUGUUCUAUGCGUGUUCUUACAAUAUGUCUUUGUAUUUUUGUUUUUUUUUUUUGGUUGCUUCAAAAAAAAUACCUAGGCUAUUACAUGGCUUUUAUAGCCGAAACAGAAUCAAAAAGAUCCCAAAAAUAAAAAUAAAAAUACGAAUACAAAUUCUUUUUCCUAUUUGCUGUUAUUUUGUUUGUCUUCUUGCAGGUACGGGUGCGCGCUCAGGUACGAUGGUUUGGGCGUGGCAUGGCUGCUGAGACGUUGGCAUCGUACGGAGGGUGGGCGUGGCGCGAUGUGGUUGCUGCUUGUGAAGGCUGCGGCGCGAGGACCCCUUUGCCCUAGGGUUUGCCGAGAUUUGGCUUGGCUUCAGGGCCGUUUGGGCUCGUUUUAAAUAUUGGGCCACUGGUUUGGGCCAGAGGGACUGUUUUGGGUCUUUGGGCUUGUAAUAGGACUUAUUAUUGGCCAUGUAAUUGGACUGUUAUAAAACUUGGGUUUUAAAUUUAUUUAUUUAUUUUAUAUUAUUAUAUAUAUAUUUGGGUUUCUAGUGAGCCUGGGCAAAUUUGCCCAUUUACAAUCUGACGAUUUAUUAUUAAUUUAAUUUUUUUAAUAAAUAUAAUAUUUUGGUGUAAAAUGAGUAACAUAAAAAUAGUUUAUAUAACACUUGUGACAAAAAAAAAUUAAAUAUCAAUUUAAGAAAAAUAUUUAGUUCAAGUACUAAUUUAUUAGUUAAAUAUUCUUUUAAAAUAGAUUAAAUGAUUCAACUACCGAUUGAACUAAUAAGAUACAAAAAAAUAAAAUUUAAAUACCCA